ensembl:lncRNA
AUCUUGCUGGAGGAUCCUGUCUACCUGAGGCUUUCUGAAGAUUGAGCCUACUCAUUUGGCAAACAUAAGGAGUCCAGCCGGGUGCUUCAUGCUCAUCACUCCCCUACCAGCAAUAAAAGCUCUGCUACCUUUAAUGUCACACCCAGCUGCAGGGAGCUUCACUGAGCCCACCCAGCACAGAAAUUGUUGGGCCUCUCGAGAGCAGUGGGGAACGACAGCCCUUAUUCUCACAGGGACUUUGGUGAUGGUGUGGGAUACCAGUGCCAAGAAUGCAUCCAAGGAGCUGCACCCAAUCCCUGAGAUACCUGGGAGACCCUUUGCAGAUGGGUGACAUGCAGCAAGCAGAGCAGCAGCCAGCCAUUCCCACGUGAAAGGCAGUGGGUUCACUGUUGCUGGGAUUUGGAGGGAUGGCAGAGCUGUACCUGGCGGAGCUCUCAUUGGUGGGGCAAUGUGGUAUUUCAGGGGCCACCCCAAAUCCAAGGAGAACCAGGAAACCCACCACUGACUCCUGAGUCUCUUCCUGCCCUGUCUGCCAAUGGCUCAGGGAGAGAAUGGGAUGACACAGCUGCUGCAGUUGGAGACCAUUUCCAAGGGGCCAUUCAAGACUGUAUUGAGCAGAGUGAGUUGAAAACAAACACGGCAGUCUCUGACAGCAAGAAAGCAUUGCAAAAUGCCAACUAUCUGCUCACUACAGCUGCUGUGGGUGUCCUCCAGCAGCCCACAGCACCAGAGAAAAUAAUGGCAGCAAUACAGGGAGCGAAAAGCUCCUGCAAAGGGGAAGAAACCUUUAUCAAUAUACACAGACUUCCUUGUGAGCUUUCCAGUUUACAUAGGCUGAGGAUGCAUACCAAAUCUGUUCUGCAGGCCGUGCUCCCCCAGAUGUUUCCGGUAGUUGGAUGGUGGGCAGCCCACUGCCUGCCUUUGCCAGCUGUGCAGCCUGCUCCUGCACUGCCACAUGUUUUGCCUGCAGAGCAUAUUUCCUCGUCUGGAGUUGGGUUUUCCUAAUUAGCUGCCUGUGCUCCUGCCUUACAGAAAUUAUUUGUUCCUGCCAGGCCCUCGAUCCAAUGGCUGCGGGAGGUGUUUAUGAGGGAAUCAAAACGGCAGGCUGACAAAUCCCCAGCGGCAAAGCUUUCUCUGGUGGACUUUUCACACUGAAACGGAGGAAGACGAGGAGGGCUGGGAUGAGAGCCAGCCGUCCAACUGCUGCUCUGAAAAUUAGCUGUGCUUCUCUUUUCUGAGCAGCGGUUGUUAAGCUUGAAUUUAGCACGGUGUCAUGUGUGGGUUUGGUGAUCUCAGCUUGUGCUCACCCUGAGCUGUUCUGGGGGGAGGUUGGCAGCACUCAGAAGGGACACAGACACCGCAGCUCCGGCUUUACUUAUUCUGAGCAAAGCUGUGCAAGCAGUUUAAGCAAAGAGAAUAUUUCUAAGGAAACUGUGGGCUUUUGUUCCUUAGUGAAGUUGUGGGUUUUGGUUUCUUUAAUGAGAGUUGUGCUUCCUUAAGCCCAGGUACCUUUCUGCAUAAAAAUCAGAUGACCAAAGUGUGGAUUCUGGACCAAAUUCCUGACGGCAGCCAAAGAUGAUAUGCGUGUGCAUGGGGAGGCACAGAAAUGAGUGCUGUGUUUGCUGGAACAACUAGGGAGGAAGGAUGUCGUGGUGUCCAUUAAGAAUUCAGCAGCUGAACUUCUGCCUGGGUCUCAGAGCCAUCUGAGGCUUUCACUCACUGACUUAUCUUCUUUCACUUCUCCAAACCCACUGUAACUCCUGAGUUUUUGACACCGUGUGCAGUUUCUCUUCCAGUUUAUUGCCCUGGGUGGCACCGGUUGCUAUUUUGUCACUCUCUCCUUGCCAUCCUUUUAUCACACUGUCUUAUUAAGAGGGAAGCGUUUGCAUGGAUUGGUCAGGGAAGCAUCCCCAGUCCAGCUAACACACCCAAGGGGUGGUAAAUAUUGACUCUUGUUGCUGUAAACUUGUCAUGCCUCCAGCUGCAUGGGAAAGGAGUGAUAGCUGCAUUGCUGAAGCUGAUGACAUCUUGACUGACCCGGAGUUCAGGUUUAUGUACUGGAGGACACACAGUAGUCGCAGCUCCUGGCUUCUGCCUCCAGCUGGGCAGUGCCCUCCCUCAGUGCUGCCCCAAGCACACAGCCACAUGUCCCAAACUGUGGGCCCAGGGCUGGGCAGCAGCUGCUAGACGCCUGUGAGGAGCUGGCUGGCACCACAGCUUGGCUCUGCUUCUUAUUUCCAGCUUGCUACUUCAAUUAGAAGUAGCUAAAUAUACACAAGU